UUUCGUAAUAUUUUGGGUCAGAAACAUUUCAUAGUACUAUAUUAUGUCUAAAUAUGUGAAAAGAAUCAAAUUGGAGUAGGUCGGGCAACUAAUUAUAUGAGUUUGUUCGAAAAACCACUUUCCUUUGCUCCUAGCGCCUUCUCGUUGGCUGUAUAGCGUUUAGAGCGGAUAAAGAGCACAAGUGUGUAAGGAGACACAGGCUGAAUGCGAACUACUUUUGUUAUUGUACUUUUGAUGAAAACUGACUUUCUAGACAUAAAAUGUCACUUUUUUCACCUUAUCAUACUUUUUCAUCAACUUUUGCAUUUUAAUGUAAACAAUCAUAUUUCGUAAUAUUUUGGGUCAGAAACAUUUCAUAGUACUAUAUUAUGUCUAACUAUGUGAAAAAAAUCAAAUUGGAGUAGGUCGGGCCACUGAUUAUAUGAGUUUGUUCGAAAAACCACUUUCCUUUGCUCCUAGCGCCUUCUCGUUCGCUCUAUUGCGUUUUGAGCGGAUAAAGAGCACAAGUGUGCAUGCAGACACAGGAUGAAUGGGAACUCGAUUUGUUAUUGUACUUUUGAUGAAAACUGACUUUCUAGACAUAAAAUGUCACUUUUUUCACCUUAUCAUACUUUUUCAUCAACUUUUGCAUUUUAAUGUAAACAAUCAUAUUUCGUAAUAUUUUGGGUCAGAAACAUUUCAUAGUACUAUAUUAUGUCUAACUAUGUGAAAAAAAUCAAAUUGGAGUAGGUCGGGCCACUGAUUAUAUGAGUUUGUUCGAAAAACCACUUUCCUUUGCUCCUAGCGCCUUCUCGUUCGCUCUAUAGCGUUUUGAGCGGAUAAAGAGCACAAGUGUGCAUGCAGACACAGGAUGAAUGGGAACUCGAUUUGUUAUUGUACUUUUGAUGAAAACUGACUUUCUAGACAUAAAAUGUCACUUUUUUCACCUUAUCAUACUUUUUCAUCAACUUUUGCAUUUUAAUGUAAACAAUCAUAUUUCGUAAUAUUUUGGGUCAGAAACAUUUCAUAGUACUAUAGUAUGUCUAACUAUGUGAAAAAAAUCAAAUUGGAGUAGGUCGGGCAACUGAUUAUAUGAGUUUGUUCGAAAAACCACUUUCCCUUGCUCCUAGCGCCUUCUCGUUCGCUCUAUAGCGUUUUGAGCGGAUAAAGAGCACAAGUGUGUAAGGAGACACAGGAUGAAUGCGAACUACUUUUGUUAUUGUACUUUUGAUGAAAACUGACUUUCUAGACAUAAAAUGUCACUUUUUUCACCUUAUCAUACUUUUUCAUCAACUUUUGCAUUUUAAUGUAAACAAUCAUAUUUCGUAAUAUUUUGGGUCAGAAACAUUUCAUAGUACUAUAUUAUGUCUAACUAUGUGAAAAAAAUCAAAUUGGAGUAGGUCGGGCAACUGAUUAUAUGAGUUUGUUCGAAAAACCACUUUCCUUUGCUCCUAGCGCCUUCUCGUUCGCUCUAUAGCGUUUUGAGCGGAUAAAGAGCACAAGUGUGCAUGCAGACACAGGAUGAAUGGGAACUCGAUUUGUUAUUGUACUUUUGAUGAAAACUGACUUUCUAGACAUGAAAUGUCACUUUUUUCACCUUAUCAUACUUUUUCAUCAACUUUUUCAUUUUAAUGUAAACAAUCAUGUUUCGUAAUAUUUUGGGUCAGAAACAUUUCAUAGUACUAUAUUAUGUCUAAAUAUGUGAAAAGAAUCAAAUUGGAGUAGGUCCGGCAACUGAUUAUAUGAGUUUGUUAGAAAAACCACUUUCAAUUCAAUUCAAUUCAAU
ensembl:lncRNA